rnacentral:lncRNA from 1 species
UCAAUUGAACUAUCAAUCUUGCUUAAAUAUUUACAUGCCUUUUAAAAACUAAGUUAGCAAUAAGCACAAGAAAUUUGAAGAUAAUUGUACUUACCAAAUAGAAGAAAAGUCCUAAAAUCCGCUUGGUAUUUGGCCGACCUCCUAUUCCAAUCUGAAUGUUAAAUUUCUAGUACCAAUAUCUCCUUAUCAUAUUAUUCAAUUGUUCUCAAAUUUCAUAUGUAUGUAAAAAAAUCAAGUCUAUUAUCUUUAGACACAAAUUUUAUUCCAAUCCAACGAAGAUUGCUAAAGAUCUUAAAAAUCCUAACUACCUCUUAAAGUCCGAUUUCUGAAACCUUAAUCUAUUUGAAAUUCAAUAGCCUUCAAUUCAACUAUUUGAUCAAGCUUAAAUUUACAAAAAAUAUUCUAAAAAAAUAUUAUCAUAAGUCAU